rnacentral:misc_RNA from 1 species
GAUGAAGAACGCAGCGAAAUGCGAUAAGUAAUGUGAAUUGCAGAAUUCAGUGAAUCAUCGAAUCUUUGAACGCACAUUGCGCCCGCCAGUAUUCUGGCGGGCAUGCCUGUUCGAGCGUCAUUUCAACCAUCAAGCCCCCGGCUUGUGUUGGGGACCUGCGGCUGCCGCAGGCCCUGAAAAGCAGUGGCGGGCUCGCUGUCACACCGAGCGUAGUAGCAUACAUCUCGCUCCGGGCGUGCUGCGGGUUCCGGCCGUUAAACCACCUUCAUAACCCAAGGUUGACCUCGGAUCAGGUAGGAAGACCCGCUGAACUUAAGCAUAUCAAUAAGCGGAGGA